rnacentral:lncRNA from 1 species
UAUGAAAGGAGGAGAAGUGUCACCUCCAGGCCACCACAGUGAGAAGCCUGCUCAUCAUAGAACAGUGUUUUCUAGAAGUUCUAGAAACUUCCGAGUUCUCUCCCGCUGCCUGGGUGAUUGCAGAAGAUUCCCACUGCUUGAUGUGCAGUCACAGAUGGAAGCAGCCUGGAUCCCGAGUCACUGAUGGAAAAGUCGCCCAGAGCAGCGACACCCUUUAUGGAACUGAAAAAUCAACUUUUCGUCUGCUAAGCUGCUAUAAUUUUUGAAAUUGCUUUUUUUUAAUUGAGAUAAAAUUGACACAGAACAUUAUGUUAGUUUUAGGUGUACAACAUAAUGAUUCAGUGUUUGUAAUGGAAUUGCUUCUUUAUUGCAGCAAAGCAUAGCCCAUCCUUAGCAGUUCCCCAACGUUUUGGUUACAAAUUUGGAAAAGUCCUCCUGGCUGCCAUGGCUUCAGAAUCUGUUUGCCAUUAUGAUAUUCUGCUCCUUCUUUAUUUUUGGAUUCCAGGAAUUUCCCCAUUUCUUUAGAAGCUUAUUCAUGGACUCAAGUUGCUUUCAAACAUAGUAAGGUUUUUCAGUAUAGUGUCCAUAAUAUUGAUAGGAAAUUAUAUCUGAAAAGUGAUUUUUAAAAGCAUACUUUUACGCUAUAUAAUAAAUAUAUUGAAGGAGAGAAAAUUCAAAACUGCCCCUAAAGAAAGAAUGUGAAAAGUUUCUUGGGAACGUUAAGAAACAAAUAUAAAACAAAGAAAAAGAAAAAACAGGUCCCGUAUCCAGAUACUUACUGUUGUAUAUUCCCCUAUUACAGGGCACUUAGAAUUAAUUCACUGUUUAUUUCCAUGGGUUUUCACUGUGUUUGUCCCAUGUAACCCAGGGCCAACUGAAAAUUAUAGGAGUUUUGGGUUAAUGAGCAAUUGACAGAAUUAUUACCUUGGGUUUUAAAACCAGACAGAAAGGUAGGUGUGACAAUUUGGUUCUCCAUUCUGCAUAAUGCCUGAAAUAGGAGCUCCACCACGCCAGCCCCUGCUCUCAGACCUCCCUGAUUCCCCAUCCAAACUCCGUAGCAUGGCACAGGGCCCUUACAUGUGGCGCUGGCUCGUCUGUACCUCCUUGCCUCUCAGCAGUCCCUGCCUCCCACCAGCACUCUGCUCCAGCCAAGUCAGAAGACACCAGAAGCUUCCAUGGCUUUCCAGGCUCUGUGUGCUCUAUAAGGUGACAACUGCCUUUCUUGCACUGGAAAGUGAGCCCCUUGAGACAACAGAUAAGGCAGAGGAAAGCGAAGUCCAGGGUGGAGAGAGAGGAGCCCGGACCACAACUCUACACUGCUGGGUCCAGCCAUGUCUGAAGACUUGCCCGUCACGUCACAUAACAACUGUUUUUUUCCAAGUGAAUUUUAGUUCAAUUUCUGCAACUGAAAAAGGCCUGAUAUAGCACUGCUUUAUGGGAAAUGCAUAUAACACAUCUCAGCUAUGUGGAUAUUUACACUCAAUUUGAGAAAUAAGAUACAUAUGGAAGAGAAGAGAAUGUAAAAGAUGAUAUAAAUUAAAUGGGGAGAUACUUGAAGCCAGUUAAUUUUGGUCUGUUCUCCAGAUUAAAAAUUUCC